GUCGAGAAUAAUUCACAAUGGGGGAAACCCUGAUGGUGCAACGCCGCGUGGAGGAUGAAGGUCUUCGGAUUGUAAACUCCUGUCAUCCGAGAGUAAGACCUGGCGGUGAAUAGCCGACAGGGUUGAUAGUAUCGGAAGAGGAAGGGACGGCUAACUUCGUGCCAGCAGCCGCGGUAAUACGAAGGUCCCAAGCGUUGUUCGGAAUCACUGGGCGUAAAGGGAGCGUAGGCUGCGCGGUAAGUCAGGUGUGAAAUCCCGGGGCUCAACCCCGGAACUGCACCCGAUACUGCCGUGCUGGAGGGUGGGAGAGGUGACUGGAAUUCUCGGUGGAGCAGUGAAAUGCGUGGAUAUCGAGAGGAACACUCGUGGCGAAGGCGAGUCACUGGACAACAUCUGACGCUGAGGCUCGAAGGCCAGGGGAGCAAAAGGGAUUAGAAACCCGAGUAGUCC
rnacentral:rRNA from 1 species